UCAAGCAGUCUGUCCGAGGGCAUGCAUGCAGAGCCUAGGGAUUCAGCUUCCUGUAGGUGGCGAUCUCAAUGUCCAAGGCCAUUUUGACAUUCAGAAGAUCCUGGUAUUCACGAAGAUGACGGGACAUCUCAUCCUUCAUGUUUCUGAUGUCGUCCUCAAGAUGUCCGAUGGUGUCCUGGUAUCCGUUUGCCUCCACGUGGUCGAACCUCAUCGUGGAGUUUCUUUAAGAAAGCGAUCUCCUCCUGCAAGGACUCCACUUUUCUCUCCAGAUCCAGACGAGCAAGAGAGGCGUUGUCAACAUCCUGCGAGCAAGACGCAUUAAGAAAAUAACAAACAAAUCUCAGCUCUGUAUGUAUAAAUGCGCUCGAUGUCCUCUCCCAGGUUGUCUCGAUCCACUUCCACUCUGGCCUUCUCGUUGGUGAGCUGGUCCAUCUGCCUCCGCAGUUCUCUCAUCUCAUCCUCGUACAUAUCUCCGACCCGGGACUUGCCCUGGCCCUUCA